rnacentral:rRNA from 1 species
GAUGAACGCUGGCGGCGUGCCUAAUACAUGCAAGUCGAGCGAACAGAUGAGGAGCUUGCUCCUCUGACGUUAGCGGAGGACGGGUGAGUAACACGUGGAUAACCUACCUAUAAGACUGGGAUAACUUCGGGAAACCGGAGCUAAUACCGGAUAAUAUAUUGAACCGCAUGGUUCAAUAGUGAAAGACGGUUUUGCUGUCACUUAUAGAUGGAUCCGCGCCGCAUUAGCUAGUUGGUAAGGUAACGGCUUACCAAGGCAACGAUGCGUAUCCGACCUGAGAGAGUGAUCGCCCACACUGGAGCUGCGACACGGUCCAGACUCCUACGGGAGGCAGCAGUAGGGAAUCGUCCGCAACGGUCGAAAGCCUGACGGAGCAGCGCCGCGUGAGUUACGAAGGCCUUCGGAUCGUAAAACUCUGUUAUGGGUGAAGAACAGAUUUGUAAUUAACUGUGCACUUCUUGACGGUACCUAAUCAGAAAGCCACGGCUAACUACGUG